rnacentral:rRNA from 1 species
UACGAAGGGGGCUAGCGUUGUUCGGAAUUACUGGGCGUAAAGCGCGCGCAGGCGGUCCUUCAAGUCAGAGGUGAAAGCCCAGAGCUCAACUCUGGAAUGGCCUUUGAGACUAGAGGACUUGGGUACGGGAGAGGUGAGUGGAAUUCCGAGUGUAGAGGUGAAAUUCGUAGAUAUUCGGAAGAACACCAGUGGCGAAGGCGGCUCACUGGCCCGUUACUGACGCUGAUGCGCGAAAGCGUGGGGAGCAAACAGG